AUGGCAAGGUAUGAAUUAACGCUUUCUAAGAUAAAUCAGUAUUAUAAGAAAAGGAGUAAGAAUAAUUGGGUAUCUAAAGGUGAUCGUAAUACUAAAUUUUUUCAUCAGGCCAUUAUGCAGCGUAGGAUGAAAAAUACUAUCUGUUCAAUUAAGGAUGAACAUGACCUCAUUCACUGUAAUCCUACUGCCAUUAUGCAAACCUUUGUGAAUUACUUCCACUAUAUUUUUUCGUCCCCUGAUGAGAAUAUUCUUCCACCGUUUCCUCUUCAUCAGGGGUACAAUGAUAACAAUGACCCUACUUAUUCCAUUCCGGAUAAUGCUGAAAUCUUGCAGAUUCUUAAAGAUAUGAAGCUUAAUGCUUCUCCUGGUCCUGAUGGUUUCAAUGUUGAAUUUUAUUUAGCUACUUGGGAUUGGAUUGGGGAAGAGGUAACUCACCUUGUUACUAAUUUUUAUCAAACAACUACCCUUCCUUCUCAUAUUAAUGACACCAAUAUUUCUCUCAUUCCUAAGAAAUUGGCGCCCUUGGUUCCUACUGAUUACGGGCCUUUUAGCCUUUGUAAUGUGAUUUACACAAUCAUUGCCAAGUCUCUGGCUAAUAGACUUAAAUCUCACCUUCCUGGUUAUAUUGAUCCUGCUUAA
rnacentral:rRNA from 1 species